CGUGAGCGUUGGUUCUCGGGUGUCGGAUCGUCAAAAGGAGCUUCUGCUGGCUUUUGUGAAAGAGCACCCACAGAUCGCGAGUCUGUCGUGCCCGCUGGAGCCGUCGUUCACGAGGGAGGACCGGGACGACAUGUGGCAGGAGCUAGUAGCGCUUUUGAACGAAGAAGUCCCUGCGCGUAACACCAGGGCCCAGUGGCAAGCCCGAUGGAGGAAUGAGCGCUACUAUUCGCAGCAGGGUCUUGCCAAACUCCGAGGGCAGCAGAGCAGCACCCGAGGCGGCCAGAUUUCGGAUUACCGUGGCCGCGUCGUGCUUGACAGGGACGAGUGUGCGAGGCCCAUAGUUCGGGUGGUCUGAAUCGGUGAGCCCUGCUCCAGCUGCUACUGGUGUGGCUGAAGAGGAUGUGGCCCAGGAUCUUUCCCGUGCCCCAACUCCUCAUGCCGCAGCUGCGAGAUGGGGGCAACCGGCAGGCCGAGGCACUGGAGUUACUAGCCGCAAACACCAGGCGGCAGGGCCAGGCAUCAUUGGAAAGCUGCGCCAG